AUUGAACGCUGGCGGCAGGCCUAACACAUGCAAGUCGAGCGAGCGGCGGACGGGUGAGUAAUGUAUGGUGACUGCCCGAUAGAGGGGGAUAACUACUGGAAACGGUAGCUAAUACCGCAUACUAUCGGCUACCGCAUAUGGGAUUAGCUAGUAGGUGAGGUAAAGGCUAACCUAGGCGACGAUCCCUAGCUGGUCUGCGAGGGUGAUCAGCCACACGGGGACUGAGACACGGCCCAGACUCCUACGGAGGCAGCAGUGGGGAAUUUUGGACAAUGGGGGAAACCCUGAUCCAGCCAUCCCGCGUGUAUGAUGAAGGCCUUCGGGUUGUAAAGUACUUUUGGCAGAGAAGCGGUAUCUGCAGAGUAAGCCCCGGCUAACUACGUGCCAGCCGCCGCGGUAAUAC
rnacentral:rRNA from 1 species